rnacentral:lncRNA from 1 species
UUCAGGUUCUUUUUUCUUUUCUUUUAUUUUCGGGAGGAGGGAGGGGUUGUGAAUCAUCGGUGAUGGCGUUUCUCAAAUUCCAGUGGAUAUUUUGUAGUAGAAACCGGAGCAGACUGUCAAUGUUUUUGUUGGCAUGUAACGUCGAGUGCCAAACUACCCAACGGCACGUGACUUGGAUGCCAAACCACCACACAUAUUUUCUUACUGUAAAACAUGCGAGAUCCUAUCGUAGGGGCAGCAGCGGUAGAAUGUGUUUAAAGUUUUUCGUAGAACAAUUAUUGUGCAUCCGGUUUUCCUUUUAACUUUUCAUUGUAAUGGACGGAAAUUCUUCAUUUAAACAAUUCAUUUGUGUUUUGUAAAAGUAUUGGCCCAGAUUAUUUGCUUAGACGUGAGUUUUAAAUUUAUUCCCUAUUGACUUCCCAGAGGGUCCCAAAGGGUCUUAUAUUGUAGCGGUCUUAAAGUAAUUAUCUGAGGGUUUAAUUUUAAACUAAGUGUAACUUGUUCACCAACUAUUAAAUAAUCCCGACUCGUUCAGCGGAUGUCGAGCACCGGUGAGAAAACUUGAUCGUUUUUAAGCGGUUUGGAUUUAGCGGGGAUAUUUUAAAUAUUUCUAUCAAAUUCUUUACAAGAUGGCGCUAAUAGAAUAAUAGAAACAAAAGGGUCGUCUGCUUACGUUUUGUUUCCAAGUUUCGAAAAAGAGACUCAAGUUCAAGAUUACAAAAGAAAACGGGACGAUCACAUUUUGGGAAACGUGCACGUGGCUGCACACGAAAUAACACAUAAAAUAAGAAAAAUGUGGUCGUCGUGUCAACUCUGGUGUCGUGGCUCUUUAAAUAGAAUCGCUUCAUACACACUCCAUGCUGUUUAGCAGAUUUGAGGCCUGAGUCAGUCAUCAUAAUAACAACAUGAUAUGCAACUUUUGCUGGUGCUGCUAUUGUCCUGUCAAUCAGCAACAAUCUCAGUCUCAUCGCUUGGACAAACAUCAUCCCUGUUGAUUGGAGAUUCUACCCAUGGCCGAGCUACGUAUCUCUUCCUUCCUUCCCCUUUCUUUAAAUGUCCUCGUGUACACUUCAUGUGAGUGUGGGUGUAUUCACGAGGACCCCCUUUUCUCUCUAUCCCGACUGGUGGAUUCAACUUUUCAGCGGAUGGAUGGAGCACUUGUGGAAGGAUGCCUGGCUGCAUUUCCCAGACAUCAAGGUAGGAAACAUUUAUCUCUUUUUCCCUACUACUCCGACUAUUGGGUAGCGUUGAUUAUAAAUAGUUGGUAUGAUUAUUCCUGAGCUAGGCCGUUAUUGACUGGAACUGUUUUCUCUUGCCGUUUUCGUUGACUCGGUCAGGGUUCAUUAGUUAGCUCAUAAUAUGUAGAACGACUGCAGAUCAGGCUUAUUUUGUUUUGUUUUGUAUCGCACAACUCUGUGAAGAAAACAAUUUUCAAAAUAUUUGAACUUGGACCCAAAAGAGACCUGCCCCCACACCUGCAGCUGCCCCCUCUUAUUUGCAGUUAUAUUGCACAUAUUUGAAAUGGUCAAGGAUAUUUAUGUCUAUUUUUCUGUGUCAUGAUCUGCCAUUCUAUACUCAUAUUAUUUUCUGUUCUGUUUUCAAAUUUCCACUUGGCACUCGCUUCCGUGUGUCACGCGCGUUACCCUUGUGUUCUUGUGCAGACACGCAAAGGUGCAUUAUCAACCUUAUGCCAAAUUGAAUGCGUAAACCACCAUAACUUUCAUUUAGGUAAAAUUGAAAAUGCUAAAUUCUCAUUUUUACUUCAAUUAAUUUUUAUUUUGGCUUUUUUGUCAUUUGAAACGUUCAAAAUAAGCCAAUUCAACAAUAGUUUAUUUGAAGCGAGUUUCAUUGGACAUGACUAAUUAGCUUCAAUCCUAAAGCUUUAUAAUCAAAUGAAUUUACGGUCUUAGACUACUUGGAACUCAACAUUGUGUAAAUGGGGAAAUCGGGCAUUAAAACUUGGGAUUUUGACUUCGACUAUCAAUAUCCAGGGCUUUAAAAUCUAGUUUCUGCCACGCCUAUUUCUAGUUUUGUCAGCUUGACUAGAAAUCUGGUCAACCAAAUUGCGCCAACACGUUAUAGUUAGGUCUAAAAAAAGAGUCCACAUGUUUCAGCUACAAAUUCGAGAGCCUUUUGAAUUUAUUUUUUUCGGUCAUAAUAAAAUCUAGAGCUUGGGAAAUUGAAUUGAUCUUUUCAUUCAAAAAAUGAUCUCCUUAUUUAGACAUUUUUUGAAGGACUAAAUGGCCUUGACGAAAAGUGUGCGCAAUUUCCAUAUAUCAAACGGUGAAAUAUUUCAUUUCCUUUCCAUCAAACUGAAUUAUCUAUGCAUGGCUUGAAUGUUCUGCGUGCGUGUCUCCGAUUUCUUGUCUCGAUGUACAACAACCAUUGUACAUAUAAGAUCACAGCAUGUUUGUGUGUGUGACCAUCACGGGCGAGUUAGGUGGACUAAUGCAAUUAAAACGACUGGAAAGAGAACAUUGCGCGCGUGCAUGUGUGUGACGGUGGUGAAGGUUAGUCUCUCAUGCAAUGGACAUUUUUUUAUUCACGAUGAGUCUCGUGUUGUAGGUAUCCUUUUUUAGUUUGAUUCGUCACUCAUCAAAAUAGAUAGUAUCACAUCUAGAACUUUGAUGAAAAACCCGUUUGCGGGCGUAUUCGAAAAUUUCGAACCAACUUUUUAUGUGCAUCUAAUAAAUCGGUUGUGGACAAAAUAAUAAUAAAA